GGUGAACCUGUAUUUCUUUGUCCAUCUGAUGAUCCUUUUGGUGAAGCAGUUUCAAGAUAUAGACCAAGGCCUGCAGACUAAUAGAAGGCUGAAAGACAGGUACAAACUCUUUAUUCGUCUAUUUAUGGUGAUGGGAAUAGCUUGGUGUGUGGAGCUUUUCACACACACUGAUGAAUGCCAUUUCGGGGUAAUAUUGUGUGAAGUGGUCGUUGAGUUGCAAGGCCUCUGGAUCUUCCUCGUCUCUACCUGCGCCAAAAACAACCGUCGACUGGUAUGCUGCUGUUAAUGGUGACAGUAGUGAUAAUGAAUAUGCUGUAUGAUUCUGCGUCCCUGUGGCAACUUCAUAUCGCGAUUCAGUUUCGUAAGAGGAUGCGUGGAGAACAGACAAAGAACCACGAAGACCGAAAUGGACUCGGGUUCCACCAGUAAUACUACUGGUGUAAGAAAAUCAGUUUCAAGAAUUACAGGCAGUACGCAGCUACCAGAUGUCCCUUGUCCGCCAUGCAUAUCUAGUAAUGUGGAUAUAAUCAUUGUCAGGACGUUAUCGAAUCCCCCGACUUCAAAAGUUCAAGAGAAUUCGGAGCAGACAUCAGCUGUGACGAAUACUUCAUUGUCUGAAAAGGCUAUAAGCCUUACAAAUGCAUCUGAAGCAGACAUCUAACAACUUACACGUCAUCAGCAUAUUAACUUUCUUCCCUCGUAAUAUCCAGACAAUGGAAGUCUGACGAGACACGCUCCAUGUAGUGAAACGUAGAAAUCCCCACGCAUCUCGUAGGCUGGGUCACAAUGUCAUGUACUUAUACAUAAUGAGUAUUGAAACGACAGUUCGUUUCAAUACUAAAGCAAAACUAGUUAUCCAGAGCUUCUGUUGCAGGUGAAUGAUGUACAGUUACACAUUCAAUGACAAAAGUAACAGCUUUUUCCCGACGCUGCCAGACGCACAAGGACAUUACACAUAGAUGAGUAUCUAGUGCUCUAAUAACUCUAAUGAAUUGUCAUAGAUAUUCAUAGAUAUACAUUAUUACAAAUUCAACGUUGUAGUAAACAAAAACAAGCACAAGAAUAAACGUCGGCAGUUGUUUUGGGUAAGAUUCUCAGUUCGAUUUUAGGAUGAUUCCUCUUUGUGUUUUCUUAGUGGCUUGCGCUGCACCAGUUUAAUAGGUUAAAGUCAGAUUGGCUUAAAUAAACAAUCGUAGGUUAUUUAAGCGAUCAUUACUGUAUAAAAUGGCUAUUGCAGAAGUAUUUACAACCCUGUGGUUGUUUGUGAUUGCUUUCCAAGAACUUGCUUAUCAUCAGUUUCUGAAAAAAAUAUACCUUACGUAUAUUCAUCUACGCUUCUACUGAUUAUUCUUAUGAUACUUCUGGAUGAACUAGAACGAAAUCACCUGAUACUAGAUCCGAUAAGGAUAAGGAUAAGUCCGAUAUGCGAAGCUGAGCCUCGCCCGGGCUAUGGGGGAGCCCGGCCUGUGCCGACUAAUGUCGAUUCGCUAACAGUGUGUCAGCAGGUGCUUACUCGGAUGAGCUUAGUCCUUACCCACCGUGGUGCCCAGCCACGGCAGUAACCUCCAGGCGACAAUUGCAACUUCCGACCCCUCGGAUGAGAGGCCGACACGUUACCACUGUACUAGCCUGGAGGCUACUAGAUCCGAAGUGCCUUUCUGAAUUUGUUAAGAAUAAUCUGGCCAUUUCCUAAAAGGAACGUAUAUUAUUAUUAUUUUUUCAUUGAUCUCCAUAACCUUGCGACACUGUGUUUUAAAAUGGCGUUCUAGUAACCAGUUAUAUUGUGUGAAAGGUUUCGUAAUUCAAAAACACCAGUUUUGUAAUAUUAUGUAUAGAUAUUAAAUGCUAACUCAUCCAUUGUUUAUUUUUCUUUCUCUUUGUGGCAGUUUCAUUUCUUAUGCGGGAUAUGAGAAAGAGCAUCAGUGAAUCUCAAAUAAAAGUCAGUGAUAAUUCAGAAAAUGGAAUUCCGACUACUUCAAAAAUACAUGUAGUAUUCAAGUUGGUAUAGUAUAGUUAUACAAACAACUAACAACUCAACCCAAACUCUUUCGAGAAAGAAAAUGGUGGGUACUAAAAAGAAACACACAC